rnacentral:lncRNA from 1 species
GGAGAGAGAAGUGAAGGGCUGGGAUUGUAGCUCAGUAUUUGAGCAUUUGUCCAGCGUACGUGAGGCUCUGGGUUCAAUCCCCGUCAUCACAAGGAAAGGGAAAAAGAAGGAUUUUUGAAACUGAGCUGGGGACCGAAUAGAAAAGAUUUUAAAAUCAGACUGCUGUCCUACACAAAUCCUGUUUAAAGGGAUUUUAAGAGUUACAUUUUAGUGUAUCAUAGAAUACACAGGCCUUUGCCUAAACACUCUGUAUCUUUGUGUCGAUAAACUUCUCCCCUUGAUGGCGAAGCUUAUUCCUAUUUGGCCUAGACUGUGUUCAAGUUUUCUUUUGUUUUUUUUCCUGAGGGUUUGUUUUUUCUUGGUCUGCUAAGGAAUUUGUGAACUGUAUCUUUGGUAUACCUUUUAUUAAACUGCACUGUUUUGUUUAGUCAAGGUAAGUAAGUAUGUAUUUGAAUAACUUGGCGUGUCCUGAGUGUUGUGGUAUGAGAAGCAUCGUGGUCUUUCUACACCAAUGAAGUGCAAACAAAAUUUUGUAUUUAUGAAUGACAAAAAAAAAAAAAAAAA